GAUCCUGGCUCAGAUUGAACGCUGGCGGCAGGCCUAACACAUGCAAGUCGAGCGGCAGCGGAAAGUAGCUUGCUACUUUGCCGGCGAGCGGCGGACGGGUGAGUAAUGUCUGGGGAUCUGCCUGAUGGAGGGGGAUAACUACUGGAAACGGUAGCUAAUACCGCAUAACCUCGCAAGAGCAAAGUGGGGGACCUUCGGGCCUCACGCCAUCGGAUGAACCCAGAUGGGAUUAGCUAGUAGGUGGGGUAAUGGCUCACCUAGGCGACGAUCCCUAGCUGGUCUGAGAGGAUGACCAGCCACACUGGAACUGAGACACGGUCCAGACUCCUACGGGAGGCAGCAGUGGGGAAUAUUUCACAAUGGGCGCAAGCUGUAUGCAGCCAUUCCGCGUGUGUGAAGAAGGCCUUCGGGUUGUAAAGCACUUUCAGCGAGGAGGAAGGGUUAAGUGUUAAUAGCACUGAACAUUGACGUUACUCGCAGAAGAAGCACCGGCUAACUCCGUGCCAGCAGCCGCGGUAAUACGGAGGGUGCAAGCGUUAAUCGGAAUUACUGGGCGUAAAGCGCACGCAG
rnacentral:rRNA from 1 species